GGUAAUAGCAAGUACACAGAAAAACACAGACCAUUAUAAUACUGUAGUUAUGGUGUGUAAACUACUCAUAUUUUGAUUAGAAAGACUAAGCAAUGAACCUAUCAAAAAUAAUAAUGAAAACAACUUUUCAAGACAUAGACAGUAUAAUAAGUUACAAAUAGAAAUGACAAAAAGCUAAAAAGUGGGGAGAUUAAGUUAAAGUAUAGAGUUUUUAUUAGUUUUCUUUUUGCUUGUUUAUUAGUUGGUUUAUGUAAUCAGUGUUAACCUGUCAUCAGUUUAAAAUAAUGGGUUAAACAUAUGAAUUUUGGGAAGACACAAAGAUUCAGAACAUAGCAGGUCUGUAUUCAAAUAGGCAGGAGAAGAGUGCUUUUAAAGGUAUUAAAAUAUAAAACUUUUUCAUUCCUUCUGAAGUUUCUCUCUUUCUCUCUGUCUCAACCUGUUAUGUUGUACCCCUUGGGCACAGGGAUACUCACAGUGUGAGCACAGAGGCUCUUAGGUGCCUGGGGGCUGGGGUGGGAAAGCAUGUCGUCCUGAUCUGUCUCAAAACAC
rnacentral:lncRNA from 1 species